GGCGGGGUAGCUCAGUUGGUUAGAGCACACGGCUCAUAAUCGUGGUGUCGCGGGUUCAAGUCCCGCCCUCGCUAC
rnacentral:tRNA from 1 species